GUUAACUUGGCAGAUUAAUUGUGUCAAAUUUAGAAUUUGAAGAUGGAUUCUCCAGUUGAUA
rnacentral:tRNA from 1 species